UUCCGGUUGAUCCUGCCGGAGGUUACUGCUAUCGAGAUUCGACUAAGCCAUGCGAGUCGAAUGUUCUUCGUGAACAUGGCGGACUGCUCAGUAACACGUGGACAACCUACCCUUGGGUCUGGCAUAAUCCUGGGAAACUGGGGAUAAUUCCGGAUAAACCACAGAUGCUGGAAUGCGCUGUGGCCCAAAGCUCCGGCGCCUAAGGAUGGGUCUGCGGCCUAUCAGGGUUGUAGUGGGUGUAACGUACCUACUAGCCUACGACGGGUACGGGUUGUGAGAGCAAGAGCCCGGAGAUGGAUUCUGAGACACGAAUCCAGGCCCUACGGGGUGCAGCAGGCGCGAAAACUUUACAAUGCGGGAAACCGUGAUAAGGGAAUCUCGAGUGCCAGCAUAUAAUGUUGGCUGUCCAGAUGCCUAAAAAGCAUCUGUUAGCAAGGGCCGGGCAAGACCGGUGCCAGCCGCCGCGGUAACACCGGCGGCCCGAGUGGUAACCGCUUUUAUUGGGUCUAAAGGGUCUGUAGCCGGCCAAGUAAGUCCCUUGGGAAAUCUGGCAGCUUAACUGUCAGGCUGCCAGGGGAUACUGCUAGGCUUGGGACCGGGAGAGGUGAGAGGUACCUUGGGGGUAGGGGUGAAAUCUUGUGAUCCUCGGGGGACCACCAGUGGCGAAGGCGUCUCACCAGAACGGGUCCGACGGUAAGGGACGAAAGCUAGGGGCACGAACCGGAUUAGAUACCCGGGUAGUCCUAGCCGUAAACGAUGCUCGCUAGGUGUCAGUCACGGUGCGACCGUGAUUGGUGCCGUAGGGAGGCCGUGAAGCGAGCCACCUGGGAAGUAUGGCCGCAAGGCUGAAACUUAAAGGAAUUGGCGGGGGAGCACUACAACGGGUGGAGCCUGCGGUUUAAUUGGAUUCAACGCCGGG
rnacentral:rRNA from 1 species